AGGUAACGGCGAGUGAAGCGGCAACAGCUCAAAUUUGAAAUCUGGCUCCUUCGGGGCCCGAAUUGUAAUUUGUAGAGAGUGCUUCGGGCGAGACCUCGGUCUAAGUCCAUUGGAACAUGGUGUCAUAGAGGGUGAGAAUCCCGUAUGCGACCGUGGCUCGAGCCCAUGUGAAGCCUCUUCGACGAGUCGAGUUGUUUGGGAAUGCAGCUCAAAAUGGGUGGUAAAUUUCAUCUAAAGCUAAAUACUGGCUGGAGACCGAUAGCGCACAAGUAGAGUGAUCGAAAGAUGAAAAGCACUUUGGAAAGAGAGUCAAACAGUACGUGAAAUUGUUGAAAGGGAAGCGCUUGCAACCAGACCUGCCCGUAGGCGAUCAGCCGCUGUUCUCAGCGGUGUACUCGCUCUGCGAUCAGGCCAGCAUCGGUUUCGGCGGUUGGAUAAAGGCCUUGGGAAUGUAGCUUCCCUUCGGGGGAGUCUUAUAGCCCUCGGUGCAAUGCGGCCAGCCGGGACCGAGGACCGCGCUCCGGCUAGGAUGCUGGCGUAAUGGUUGUAAGCGACCCGUCUUGAAACACGGACCAAGGAGUCUAACAUCUAUGCGAGUGUUUGGGUGUCAAACCCAUACGCGGAAUGAAAGUGAACGGAGGUGAGAACCCUCAAGGGCGCAUCAUCGACCGAUCCAGAUGUCUUCGGAUGGAUUUGAGUAUGAGCAUAGCUGUUGGGACCCGAAAGAUGGUGAACUAUGCCUGAAUAGGGUGAAGCCAGAGGAAACUCUGGUGGAGGCUCGCAGCGGUUCUGACGUGCAAAUCGAUCGUCAAAUUUGGGUAUAGGGGCGAAAGACU
rnacentral:rRNA from 1 species